CUGCAACAGUAACACGUGGACAACCUGCCCUUAGGUUGGGUAUAAACCCGGGAAACUGGGUAUAAUACCCGAUAGGUCUCGAUUGCUGGAAUGCAUCGAGAUUUAAAGCUCCGGCGCCUAAGGAUGGGUCUGCGGCCUAUCAGGUAGUAGUGGGUGUAGCGUACCUACUAGCCUACGACGGGUACGGGUUGUGAGAGCAAGAGCCCGGAGAUGGAUUCUGAGACACGAAUCCAGGCCCUACGGGGUGCAGCAGGCGCGAAAACUUUACAAUGCUGGCAACAGCGAUAAGGGAACCUCGAGUGCCAGGUUACAAAUCUGGCUGUCGAGAUGCCUAAAAAGCAUUCCAUAGCAAGGGCCGGGCAAGACCGGUGCCAGCCGCCGCGGUAACACCGGCGGCUCGAGUGGUAACCGUUAUUAUUGGGUCUAAAGGGUCUGUAGCCGGCCGGAUAAGUCUCUUGAGAAAUCUGGCAGCUUAACUGUCAGGCUUUCAGGAGAUACUGUCUGGCUCGAGGCCGGGAGAGGUGAGAGGUACUUCAGGGGUAGGGGUGAAAUCUUGUAAUCCUUGAAGGACCACCAGUGGCGAAGGCGUCUCACCAGAACGGACCUGACGGCAAGGGACGAAAGCUAGGGGCACGAACCGGAUUAGAUACCCGGGUAGUCCUAGCCGUAAACGAUACUCGCUAGGUGUCGGCCACGGUGCGACCGUUGUCGGUGCCGUAGGGAAGCCGUGAAGCGAGCCACCUGGGAAGUACGGCCGCAAGGCUGAAACUUAAAGGAAUUGGCGGGGGAGCACCACAACGGGUGGAGCUUGCGGUUUAAUUGGGUUCAACGCCGGAAAUCUUACCGGGACCGACAGCAAUAUGAAGGCCAGGCUGAAGACUUUGCCGGAUUAGCUGAGAGGUGGUGCAUGGCCGUCGUCAGUUCGUACUGUGAAGCAUCCUGUUAAGUCAGGCAACGAGCGAGACCCGUACC
rnacentral:rRNA from 1 species